AUACUAACGUGGUGUCGGGCCCUCCGGCGGUCAGCGUGGCCGGGGCCCCGUGCAGAGGCCUCCCGUUGCACUGCGGGUGGCUGACGUACGCCACUACCCCAAACUGGGGUGGGUGGGACACGCAAUUUUUGGUAGUGGGGCUUGGCGUGCGCACCAGCCCCUC